GACGCCGCCGCCGGAAGCCGCUAACCCUCGACGCCGCUGGACGCCAGUCGCCCUGCGCUCGCCUCGCCCUUGCCUCCCUCGACACCGUCACCCCUCGCUCGCCUCGCUGCUCAGCCGCCGCCAGACGCUGGUCGUCCCGCCGCUGGACUCCAGUUGUCCCCGAAGGCGCUCGCCCAGCCGCCCUCGACGCCGCUCACCCAAUCACCCCCGACGCCCCUCGCCGAGCCUCCACCGAAGCCCCAGCUGCCCUCGACGCCGCUCGCUGAGCGAUGGUUCUUUGUUAGCGGACGAGAAGCGCGCUACCUGCGAAACGAGGGAUCUCGACGUGGAAUGUAUAGAUGCCGAAGCGAUGGUUCUUUGUUAGCGGGGGCUUUUCUUAGGUUGAGUUUGAUGUCUGGAUAUGGUGGGUUGGGGGGAUGAUUGAUGAAGAAUUCUGAGUAACUCAUUCGAGGGAUGUGCACCUGGUUUAGUCAAGUUGAAGCGGAGGGAUGAUUAUGCUGUCAGGAUUGUGCUUGUUUAAUUGAGAUUUCGUAUUUUUAUUGCGUUCAUCGUGUUUGCUUUUGUGGAUUUGAUGUGGAGACGUGAUUCUGUAAUAGGAUUAAUCACGUUGAAUUGUUUCUUCGAGUCGAGUUGCUUCAUGUUCUUAAAUGUCGGUUCCAAGUUGAAUUAGUUUGUUGAUACAAACCGGAGCUGCAUUUCUCUUGGCAGUGAAAGGUUUUGAUGUGAUUGUCGUUGGAAUUCACAGGGCCGGUUCAUGGUAAUAGAUUGCCUGCAGCCUCUUAUUUGAUAAUUUUGAGUUUACAGUAUUCUUCCGAAGCAAGUGCCGAAAAGGAGGAACCCACAGAGACCGUGAAGGAGUUGUAUGACAAAUUCUUGAGUCUGUUAACACGAAAAGAACAAUGGCUCCAAACGCAUGGGCGUGAUCGAUGAUUGAAAAUUGCAAGAAUUGAGAGGAUAUUAAGCUUCUCUUUAAUAUCUUGCAGAACCUACACAGAUUUGGAUUGUCAAAUUUUCGACCUUUGUUGAGAAGUCACAAAAGCAUGUGUGCGUGCAAGGGCUCUUGACUUUGACGAGGGACCGUCUAAGGCAUCAUUCAUGGACGUGCAAAGAAGAAAAUCAACCAUCAAGGCAAGAAAGAACAAAUCAAAGUAACGAGCGAAGAGGACAGAGAUAGUCCAAUUAAACAUGAACGUAACCUUGUCCCGCGACAAGGAAAAGCAUCGACACAGGUUCCUCUCAGGAACCCGAGCAAAAGCACCAACGUACCAGAAAGACAACCUGAGCAAAAGCAACCUGAAAAUAUGCAUCAGACAAAUGAUAUUCUGCAUAAAACAAAUCCGCAUCAUGCCCAUUUGCUACCACGCAAUGAAGUACAGAGACAGGUAUAAUAAUAAUUGUACUUCACAAUGCUAUGGACCGUAAAUCUGCUCUUGGGGAGGCUAUGUCAGUUGAGGAGAAAAGGAAGUUAAAGAAAGACCUCAAAUCCUUACGAAUGGAGGAUGUGUCAUCAUUUAUGGAAGCCCUGCCUCCAGACUUCUCAAUAGUACUACGUGCAGAUGGGCUACUGAGGGCAAUCAUUCGCAAGUUUCGCGCUUCUCAAAGAGUGAGGCUGUUAACUUAUGCAAGAUUUGCACCAUACGGUCUUUUCCAAGAGACAACUGCUCAAUCUGGCAAGUCUAUAUGGCCUAGAAUCGAUUCAUCCUAUAACAGACAGGUCCAGGAGAAGGAUCAAAACAUGCCCUAAUUUUUUAAACUAGAUAAUCGACAGCAAUGGUGCAGUACUGUCCAACGAGGUGAGGUCUUAAAUGGUGGAGUUCCUUGAAAUGGGCCAUGAGCACCUACAUGUAGAAAGCAUACAUUAAGCAGCAGUGCUCCUUGCGUGCUUACCAAGUGUGUGCAUUCCCGGAUGCAGGCUGGAAUCGCAGGGGGGUUGUGGGGUAGAGAGAGAGGGAAGGAAGAAGCAAUGAGAAAGGAUUAAUUUCAUAGUAUUGUCAAAGUGGCUUAUAAUUUGUGUUGCGGAGCAGGAGGAUCGAGGUGGAUGGUUCUUAACUGGGCGAUUAGUUAGAGCAUAAAAAUCGCCUGGGUGCAUUUUCUUGUUGCAGAAGACACUAUCUAACACUAUGUUUCUAGUGCUUUCAGGUUCUGCGGUUGCAAUACUCUUCUCCAAGCUCAGGGGAAACUUAGUUACCUUCGAGUGAGAGUUGUCAUUGGGCGCUGGAGUUGCUUUCCUGGAUGGAAAGGGCAAGGCGCUUGCUAUUUGAGAUGAUAAACCAUCAGUAUGUGGCCGCAGGGCAGUCUGUUAAAGGACAUUAUUUAACUCCUGCAUCGUAGAUCUCGUUGCAUAGACAGCUUAAAAUUUUGAGACAGAUGCAAUGAAGGGAUGCAUAUGAUGGCUUUGGCGACCAAAGGGCUGGUGAUUUAAGCUAAAGCUCUAGGUGGAUGAUUGCGUUAUCAAUCUGUUCUCUCAAUUCAAGCAUGUGGUCAAAUUCCAUAACUGUUAUCCUUUCAAAAGUUUUCUAGUCAAGCACUCAAUACCAAGUUUAUUGUUCUUCAUGCAUGGCAUUGAUGUUGGACAUCAACUUGAUCCAUCAUUGUACUGUAAAUAUACAGAGGCACUUCAACUCAUCUGUAACUUCACAGUUUUGGCAAUAAUCGUGCAUCGAUGAUUCAUGAAAAAUGGA